rnacentral:rRNA from 1 species
AGCAGCCGCGGUAAUUCCAGCUCCAAUAGCGUAUAUUAAAGUUGUUGCAGUUAAAAAGCUCGUAGUUGAAUUUCGAGACCGGUCUACUGGUCGUGCUUUUGUACGUACUGGUAUAAUCGGUUUCUCUCUUCUGACGAACUAUAAUGCCAUUAAUUUGGUGUUUUAGGGAAUCAGGACUGUUACUUUGAAAAAUUAGAGUGUUUAAAGCAGGCUCACGCUUGAAUACAUUAGCAUGGAAUAACGAAAUAGGACGUUUGAUUCUAUUUUGUUGGUUUCUAGGAUCGACGUAAUGAUUAAUAGGGAUAGUUGGGGGCAUUAGUAUUCAAUUGUCAGAGGUGAAAUUCUUGGAUUUAUUGAAGACUAACUACUGCGAAAGCAUUUGCCAAGGAUGUUUUCAUUAAUCAAGAACGAAAGUUAGGGGAUCGAAGACGAUCAGAUACCGUCGUAGUCUUAACCAUAAAUUAUGCCGACUAGGGGUCGGAUGAUGUUAAAUUAAUGCGUCA